UUGGGGUUUGGUCUACUGGGAUGGGCCGUCACUCACCCUGCAGUUCACUCUUUUUUCUUUCUUUUUUUUAUUGAACAUUAAUACAGAAAAAAAAAACUUUCCUGGCAGUUUGAUGUAUUUUUUAUGCCUAAAAGUUUAAAAGUUAUAAUUUAUGUGUUGUCCACUUUAAAACCUAAAUUUAUUUGCACUAUGCUUGAAAGCAGACUAUGUUUUUUUUCCCCAACUUUUGACAUUUUCUUUAAAAAGGCCAUUCAAAUUAUAUCAAUAUCAAUUUUUUUUGGCUCUAUUACCUGCGAACUAACAGAAGAAUGUGCCAAAAGUUUGUAUUUUAAAGGAAAAUCAACAACAUAUCUCACAUAAGGAAUUUUUAAAUAAAGUUUUAUACCCAAAAACUAACUUUCCCGGCGGUUUUAUGUAUUUUUAUGCCUAAUUUCAUCUAAAAAAUUAUAUUUAAUGUGUUGUAUACUUUAAAAACCUAAAAUAGUUUGAAGUGUGCUUGAAAACAACUUUCACAACUUUUGAUAUUUUCUUUAAAAAAACAUUCAAAUUAUUUUUAAUUGAUGUGUCAAUAUUGUUUGGGGGAUCUAUUACCUGCCAACUAACUUGGCAAGUUUUAUACACAAAAAUUAACUUUCCUGGCAGUUCUAUUUAUUUUUAUGCCGAAAUUCAUUUUAAAAAAUUAGAAUUAAUGUGUUGUCCACUUUAAAAACCUAAAACUGUUUGAGUUAUUCUUGAAAGCAGACUAUGAUUUUUUUACAACUUUUGACAUUUUCUUCAAAAAGGCCAUUCAAAUUAUUUCAAUAUCAAUAUUGCCAACAAACAUAAGAAUGCACCAAAAGUUUAGAUUUUGAAGGAAAAUCAACAACACAUCUCAUAUUAGGAUUUCAUUUAGGCUUUGAAUGCACCAUGCAUUUGUAGGUGAAGUUAAUGAGUGAACUGUGGGCUGAUAUUUGGAUAGUUUGUUCUUUGUCGUGAUAGAGUGAGGAGGAGGAGAGGGAGGGGUGGUCUUGAAUCAGUUAAGCAGAACUCGUGCACAUGUCCUUGAGCCAUGUUUGUACAUCUAACACAGACUCAGUGAACCCUGCUUACCUAAAACCUCCCUGAGCUCGACUCUGUCAUGUCUGCCAUGUUAAGCAGCUAUCAUACAUCACCGUGUCUCAUUAACCCCUCUGAUGGAUUUCUGACCUGCUUCUCUAGCUGCAGGCAGGAGUAAUUUACAAUAAUCCUGACAGUUGAUUUACACAGGAUGCUAAGCAGCGGUUCGCUAAACCCACUUUUUUUCUUUAGAGGCAGACUCCGCCCACUUUUUAGACUAUUAAACAGAACAAACAUUCAAAGUGUAUGUAAAUCCUGUUUGCCGUCGGUCUAGUUUGCUUUAGAGCUGGGCUGCAUGACUUGACUCGUUCAGGAUGUAAACAUAAGAACACAGCUAAACAAAUGCCGCUGUUGACAUAAUGAGGAUUGUUUUUGGAAAUGAAAGGCUGCGUUGUUGUGUAACAGCAAGGGAACACUUCACCAUUAGUUAUCUUCAACUUUGAUAGAUACAGAAUUAAGGGUGUAGAAAUGAAAUCAUAUUUUAACAUGUUAAUGUCUUAGUGCCCUAAUUUCAGGUUUUGUUUUGAAAAGACUUCUGGUUAAAAAAGCAAAGACAUGCUCCACUUUUUCCAUUUUUGACUUGUAAAUGAGGACAUUUGACAUCUUUCCCAAAAGUUGGUCAGAAUUUGUUGAAUGUUAAAUGAUUUGGACUAGAAACUGAUUUGAUGAGAUGGGUUACUUUGGGCUGUGGUUCAUCUGAAGAUGAUGCUUUAUUGUUUGGUAUUAAUAUCAAUUUGCAUACUGGACCUCAUUUACCAACAUCUGCCUCAGGCUUGACUUGGAUUUGUUUGUAAGAAAGUUUCUCAGAGAAGUCUAGAGCAGAUUUUUAAGACUAUUCUUAAGGUCCUUACACACCAGGACCGACGCAAAUAUACAACGCGAAAUUACAAAAUAUUCAGAGGCGAAUUUUGACACGCCUGACUCAAGCCCGAUGCGAUUUUGCGACUUUCCGGGGGGAAAAAAGAUGCGUCGCUGGUGGAAACGUGAAGACUGACACAACAGCAGACUGACUGUUUAUCAGUUCUGAUUAGACACUAGUGUUGAGAUGUCUGUCUGUCAUGAUAGCAUGUACUGAGUCGGGGCCAGUACCAGAUAAGCACAUUAAACUAUAAUCCAUAAAUGUAAGGUAACAACUGAGACCUAAUGGUGCUGUGACAGCAACGGGAUUGAGUUUGAGACAGUGAAAAUACAUAUGGUAUGUUGUAUCUGAACAGGUUAGCUUACGAGCUAAAGUUACUUAGCACAGAUGAAAGUUAAAACGAAGACGUUUAGCAAACAGUUAAAGCACACAAACCAUCGUCAUAUGAGAAAUCCGUAGAUAUGACUCUCCACAAGUCGUCCUUCAGAUCGUUAUCUUUGUAAUGUUUGUGUCUUUUAUCAAAAAGCACUCUGUUCUCCGACACGUAAACAAUCAGCCGGUCGGCCAUGUUGGAUAUACCAGUGAAUCAGACGUCGCAACAACAUGGAAUCUGAUUGGUUAGAAGUGGACACACAAUAUGCAAAACUUUAAAGAAUCGACCGUGAUCUGAAAAAAUGAAUGCCGCAAUAUUGCAGGACGGGAAAAUGUCGCUGAUGUGAACACUUGUAUUGACAGGAUACAGGUUCGAAAAAAAUAUUGACGUCCGAAAUAAUCACACGAAAAAAAAUGGUCCUGGUGUGAAAGGACCUUUAAACUACAGAACAGUUUCCACUUUCUCUUUAUGUUUUUAAACGGAUAGAUACCAAAAACUAAGUCUUGUGCUGUAUGUUCCCAGAGAGUAGAGACACAUCUGAAACACUUAAACAGAAAGAUACCUUCAGAAUUCAGGAAUGGAGGUAGAGCUACUUGAAUAAAUUGAAGCCUAUAUUAUGGUCCUCUUGAAUCUGUAUCACUUUAAUAUUUAAUGUCUUCUGUUUGCCUCCACACCAAGACAAUAACACUGACUCUGAUGUUUCACACCCAAGUGUAAAGUUUAUGAUCAUAAUUUCAUAUUUUGCAGUUAAGAUCAGAUGUUAAUAAUUGAAAUUAAUGCCAACUAUAUUUAGAGAAUGCAUUUAUAUGUAUUUAUUUUGUUUUCUAUGAUUAAAUUUGAUUGUUUGGGUAAAUUGGACCACAGGCCAAACCAAACCUGACGUUCAAACACGUCUUCAUGUCUGUAGGAAAUUUCAACAGAUGUUAUUUCCACGAUUCUCUGACUGUCAUGAGACAAAACACGAUCAAUAAUUCAAAAGAUUAAUUAUUUAGAUGAGGAUUCUGUCUACCUGCCUCUGCCAUAAUGAUGAAUUCAAACCUGUGGACUCUCAGUCACACAUGAGAUAUGAAACACUUCCAGUUUAAGCCAAGUAUUGUUGCUUCUCUGUAUCUUGAGGUUUUAGAGUUUGAUGAUAUUUAAUCAUUCGUGAAAGGACCUAAAUGAGUCAGUCCUGUUCUCUCCAAGAGGUUCAGAGUUUCUGAUGUAGAGGGAUAUUGUCAGUGAUGAUAAGAGGCAUCAAUUAUUCAAUAGAUGUGUAAAGAUAGAUUAAAGAUUCUUGUUUCGUUUCAUUUCAUAAAGAUCAGUAUGAAGAGGUCGUUUCCUCUGGUCUUUCGUCCCCUCUUUAUCUCCGGCUCUCUUUUAUUAAAAGCGCUCUCCCUUCAGGCUCUUGUUUACCUGUUAAAGUGCGAUUCAGAGCUGAAGGGUCAAGAGGAUCAUGGAAGGAAAACAGCAGCAGGUCUGUUUACUCUGUGAGCGCGGGGAGGGGAGGGGGGUAUUGAUAAGUGAGGGCUGCUGGGUAAAAUAGAGGAAACGGGUCCUUUUUUUUUUCUUUAUCAGACUGCUGCUCAAGGCCACCCGAGAGAGGGAUGUUUGGACACCGCACAUCAUAUGAAUUCGCACAGUGACACACAAAUACACACCAAGCUUCAUGAUACAGUCACAUGUGCUUUGUUUGAACAGCUGAUCAGUAAAGAUUGAAGAAGAAAACAGGAAACGAGUAAACGAAAAAAAGACAGCUGUUUGUUGUCUCAUAGAAUACAUUUGUUGCCAUGGAUACGCUGACCAAAUCACACCUGGUGUAUUCAAAUUAGUCGACUCGAGGUCAAAAAGUCAGGAACAUGCAUGUCAAAAAAUAUGGAAGAUAUAGAGAUUCGGUGACUUCAAAAUAAAAGCAUGAAUAAUUUUACAUGGACUUAAAAAUGAACAAAAACAAACAAAGUCGUGUUAGCUUCAGGUGUAAUUUGAACG